UUUGUUUAAAAUAAUACAGUCUUUGAAGUUCAUUAUAAAAUUUGUUAUUUUAACUUUGUAAAUAUCAAUCAUAGGUCAUCCUCCUCCAAUAGAGAACUAGAUAUAAAUCAAUUAACUAUGGAGAUAUUGUUAACGGUCAUGUACCAUUAGAAAAGUAUAUAAACAUUUCCAAAUAGCAAUGUGCACUUUCAGCAGAAGCUGAUAAGAUCACAGUGAAAGCAAUAAAAUAGAUAUCCUUCACAUAACAGUCAAUAUUUGUUUAACAGGAUGAGUAUCUACAAAGUUCUUGAUCAAGAUGGAGGGAGAUUGUGUUGGUUACUUGCCAAUCUUAAAUUAAUUAACUUUUGUGUUUUAAACACUCUAUUGUUAUAGAUAAUAUAUUAUAUAAUUAGCAUUAUAAGAGUAAUGUUGAAUUUGAAGGUCACAAAUAUAGCUUUAUUUUAUAGAUAUUUAUUUAUACUUUAAGUUGUUAAAAGUAAAUAUUAUUUUAUUUACGUAAAUCUUGCCUUUUUUGUUGAAUGGAAAAAUUAUACUGUAAAUUCAGAUAUUGCGAUUUGUCAUUUUAGACUUAAAUGCGAUUUUAAUUUUUAGCUCACCUGACCUUAAAGGUCAAGUGAGCUUUUCUCAUCACUUGGCGUCCGUCGUCCGUAAACUUUAACAAAAAUCUUCUCCUCUGAAACUACUGGGCCAAAUUUAACCAAGAUUGGCCACAAUCAUCCUUGGGGUAUUCAGUUUAAAAAAUGUGUCCAAUGACCUGGCCAUCAAACCAAGAUGGUCACCAUGGCUAAAAAUAGAACACAGGUGUAAAAUGCAGUUUUUGGCUUAUAAUUCAAAAACCAAAGCAUUUAGAGCGAAUCUGACAUGGGGUAAAAUUGAUUAUCAGGUCAAGAUCUAUCUGUCCUGAAAUUUUUAGAUGAAUCGGACAACUGGUUGUUGGGUUGCUGCCCCUGAAUUGGUCAUUUUAAGGAAAUUUUGCUGUUUUUGGUUAUUAUCUUGAAUAUUAUUAUAGAUAGAGAUAAACUGUAAGCAGCAAUAAUGUUCAGCAAAGUAAGAUCUACAAAUAAGUCACAUGAUCGAAAUGGUCAGUUGACCCCUUUAGGAGUUAUUAUCCUUUAUAGUCAAUUUUUAACCAUUUUUCGUAAAUCUUAGUAAUCUUUUACAAAAAUCUUCUCUGAAACUACUUGGCCAAAUUUAACCAAACUUGGCAACAAUCAUCUUUGGGGUAUCUAGUUUAAAAAAUGUGUGACGUGACCUGACCAGCCAACCAAGAUGGCCGCCAUGGCUAAAAAUAGAACAUAGGGGUAAAAUGCAGGUUUUGGCUUAUAACUCAAAAACCAAAGCAUUUAGAGCAAAUCUGACGGGGUUUAAUUGUUUAUUAGGUCACAAUCUAUCUGCCCUGGAAUUUUCAGAUGGAUCGGACAACUGGUUGUUGGGUUGCUGCCCCUGAAUUGGUAAUUUUAAGGAAAUUUUGCCGUUUUUGGUUAUUAUCUUGAAUACUAUUAUAGAUAGAGAUAAACUGUAAACAGCAAUAAUGUUCAGCAAAAUAAGACCUACAAAUAAGUCAAACAUGACCAAAAUUGUCAGUCAACCCCUUAAGGAGUUAUUGCCCUUUAUAGUCAAUUUUAACAACUUUUUCGUCAUUUUUUGUAACUUGUACAAAAAUCUUCUUCUCUGAAACUUCUGUGCCAAAUUUAAAUUAACUUGGCCACAACCAUAAUUGUGGUAUUUAGUUUAAAAAAUGUGUCCGACGACCCCACCUACCAAACAAAAUGGACGGCAUGGCUAAAAUUAGAACAUAGUGGUAAAAUGCAGUUUUUGCUAUAUAUCUUUGAAACUAAGACAUUUAGGGCAAAUCUUUCAAGAUUUAAAUGUCCAUCAGAAUAAGAUCUAUCCCCUCACAAAUUUUCAGAUGAAUCCUACAACCCGUUGUUGGGCUGCUGGUAAUUUUAAGGAAAUUUUGCAGUUAUCUUGAAUACUGUUAUAGAUAGAGAUAAACUGUAUACAGCAAUAAUGUUCAGCAAAGUAAGAUCUACAAAUAAGUCAACAUGCCCAAAAUUGUCAGAGAACCCCUUAAGGAGUAAUUAUCCUUUAUAGUCAAUAUUGAACAACUUUUCGUCAUUUUUGUAACUUGUACAAAAAUCUUCUUUUCUAAAACUAUGGGCCAAAUUUAACCAAACUUGGCGACAAUCAUUACUAGGGUAUCUAUUUUAAAAAAGUGUCUAAUGACCCCGCCUACCAACCAAGAUGGCAGACAUCAGUAAAUACAGUAACAGGUGAGCGACACAGGCUCUUGAGAGCCUCUAGUUAAGAUUUAGAGGAAAAUUCUGUUUAAUUCAUAUUAAAAAAUUUAAAAAACAAGUUUAAAUUAUGUUGUUUAAAUUCUGUCGCAUUUUUCCCAAUAAUAGAAACCUGGCAAUAUUUUUUGAAUUAACAGUACUUGGAGAUCUUGUCUUUAAAUGAACUUGAAGUUACACUGGACAUGCUGCAUAGAUUACAUGAUUGCAUAUUAACCUUUUCUGAGGGAUGACUUGGAUAUCAAAUUACAUUAUCUGAAAAAGUUGAUAUACCGUAUAUAGAUUUUACCAAUUUACCCAUAUUGAUUACAAUAUUAAUCUUCUUUUAAAACAAACCUUGUAUGUAAAAGUUUAUAUAUUUAAUGUAUAAAAAUGGUCGGAACUACUUCAAAUGCGUAGUGUCAUGAAAAAUCAUGAAAAAAAUAAUUUAGACUAAAAUUAAAGAUAUACAAGUCAAAUGGUUGGUUAUUUAAUUGAUAAUAAGUCAGCAGACAUUCUGGGAAGGGAACACAGGCUUUGACGUAAAUUAGUACCUAGAUUCCUUGGCACUUGAUAUAAAAAUUAUAAAUGGGGGAUGAAUUUUAGUCAUUGUGAAAUCCAGCAAAGUUUUUACUAUGUGUUGUAUAUGUUUUUUGUGAAUUUUUAAUGAAAAUAUUGCUGUAGAUCAUUCCAUUAUGUAUGCUGUUUACUUAUACAUGUAUCAUAUAUUUUU
rnacentral:lncRNA from 1 species